UACGGAGGGGGCAAGCGUUGUCCGGAAUUAUUGGGCGUAAAGAGCUCGUAGGCGGUCUGUUACGUCUGCUGUGAAAACCCUGGGCUUAACCCUGGGCUUGCAGUGGAUACGGGCAGACUAGAGGCAGGUAGGGGAGAAUGGAAUUCCCGGUGUAGCGGUGAAAUGCGCAGAUAUCGGGAGGAACACCGGUGGCGAAGGCGGUUCUCUGGGCCUGACCUGACGCUGAGGAGCGAAAGCGUGGGGAGCGAACAGG
rnacentral:rRNA from 1 species